UAAAUGGUGUCUUUAGACACCAACUCUCUCUCUCUUGAAAUUCAUAG
rfam:Picea glauca, whole genome shotgun sequence.